rnacentral:rRNA from 1 species
GAUGAACGCUGGCGGCGCGCUUAAGACAUGCAAGUCGAACGGAGAUACCCGGUAGAUUUAUCUUCUGGAAUAUCUUAGUGGCGGACGGGUGAGUAACACGUGAGCAACCUGCCUUCAAGAGGGGGAUAACAGAGAGAAAUUUCUGCUAAUACCGCAUAAGACCACAACGUCGAGUGACGAAGGGGUCAAAGGAGCAAUCCGCUUGAAGAUGGGCUCGCGGCUGAUUAGCUAGUUGGAGUGGUAACGGCACACCAAGGCGACGAUCAGUAGCCGAACUGAGAGGUUGAUCGGCCACAUUGGGACUGAGACACGGCCCAGACUCCUACGGGAGGCAGCAGUGGGGAAUAUUGCACAAUGGGCGCAAGCCUGAUGCAGCAACGCCGCGUGAGGGAAGACGGUCUUCGGAUUGUAAACCUCUAGUCCUUGGUGAAGAAUUAAUGACGGUAGCCUUGGAGGAAGCCACGGCUAACUACGUGCCAGCA